GACGAACGCUGGCGGCGUGCUUAACACAUGCAAGUCGAGCGGUAAGGCCCUUUCGGGGGUACACGAGCGGCGAACGGGUGAGUAACACGUGGGUGACCUGCCCUCAGCUCUGGGAUAAGCCUGGGAAACUGGGUCUAAUACUGGAUAUGACUCCACGGUGCAUGUCGUGGGGUGGAAAGCCUUGUGCGGCUGAGGAUGGGCCCGCGGCCUAUCAGCUUGUUGGUGGGGNGAUGGCCUACCAAGGCGACGACGGGUAGCCGGCCUGAGAGGGCGACCGGCCACACUGGGACUGAGACACGGCCCAGACUCCUACGGGAGGCAGCAGUGGGGAAUCCUGCGCAAUGGGCGAAAGCCUGACGCAGCGACGCCGCGUGAGGGAUGACGGCCU
rnacentral:rRNA from 1 species